GGCAAAUGGGCUGAAAUGGUGAUUUUGCUUUAUCACCUUAAAACUGCUUGAAGUCCACAGUGAAAUGAAAACAUUAUCCUAAAAACUCUCACUAUCUUUUCAUGACAGAAGUUCCUGCAGAGCUGGAGAGAGACUGAGGAGCACAGAACAAACUGCCCUAGCUUCCCUGCACCAUCCUGGUUGCCUCAAUAAUUGCUAAAAUCUCCAUCAUGGUUUGUCCUCCUCCACCAUGGUGUUCCUUUCUCACCUGAAGUGCCACUUGCCUAAACCAUGGUGCCACAUGGGGUGCUUGUGAAGCAGCCCCAUGAUUUACCUUUACCUUGCCUACUUGUUUUUAAAUUGUCAGAGUAUCCUCUCAAGUUGUCGGUAAAAGGGUGAAAUGACUGGUUUUGCACAGGAAAUAGAUUUUACUUCUUUAAUAAGAAUUUUUACAUUAUUUCAUCUUUGGCAAACCAUGUGACAUUAGAUUAAGAUCUCAGCCUGAAGAACAGGCCUGAGAUCUGGCCACAUUUAAGUUUUUGAUAGAACUUGAUCAUCAAUUAAAUCCAAAGGCAAAAAAUAUAGCCUAAAAUGGACGCUCUUUUUAAAGUAAAAGAGUACAGCAGGCAAGAAAUAAUUUUUAUGAAAACUGAACUUCUGGGAGACCUUUUUUACUCUGAUCUGCUCUCUUGACCUCAGAGGUGAUGUCAGCAGCUUGGCCACUGAGCUGUCACAGCUGAAGUUGACUUCACUGGUGCUCGCUGCCAACAGACACAGUGGGAACUCUGCUCUCCUCACUGGUGCUCACUCCCCACAGACACAGCGGGAGCUCUGCUCUCCUCACUGGUGCUCGCUGCCCACAGACACAGCGGGAACUCUGCUCUCCUCACUGGUGCUCACUCCCCACAGACACAGCGGGAACUCUGCUCUCCUUGCAUGGUGCCUCACGCCGCAUCCGAACGCUCCCUCUGCUCCCAGCACAGCCCUACACGGCCAAGGCAGCAGCAAUCUUGCUCCUAGUCAGCAGAGAAGCUCUACCAUGGAAUCACUCAUGGAAGAAGAGGGUUCUGCAGCCAGGAUGCCUGUUUUGAGCACACCAGUCUCUUUCCCUGCUCUUUGGUUACCAGUUGAUCUUCACACAUCCACAGGAAGGUCUGAGGCUGCCUGUUGGCUUCUCUCAGAGGAAUGUCCUGAAUGGAGCUUGCUGUCAACACAGCUUUCAAGACAAAGAAGGGUUAGAUCUACUGGAAGGGAGAGGAAGGAGGCUGCAGACAUUGGAAAUCCAAGUUUGCAAGCAGCACUGUCAUUUCCAGGUCUCUUUUUGAAUCCGAAUUGUAAAAUUUUGGUCCCAUAGGAUCCACAGUAAGGAGAUCCCAACUUGUUUCCUGCUUGUUUUGAACACAGAUCCUACAAGUUUCUAGGCACGUUGUGCUUUGGUACCAAUUCGUUUUCCUGCCUGAAAUCCUGAACACUUCUUUAGAUGAGGGCUGCUCAACAGACAAAUAAACCUAAUUCUUCACCAAUGAUGACAUUCAUAUCUUGCAAAUGGAAUCCCCUACUCUUUAUCAUGGUAUAGCAGACCUCCGUCUCUUCUGCAGAGGGGUAAAUGGUCUCAAAUCAGAAAGAUAAAUAGAAGAUAAAGUUAUUCUUUGAGUUCAAAAUCAUGUAAAAGAUUUCAUAGUCUAAACAAAAAAAGUCUCACUUCAGCUAUGAGAAGCUAUGAGAAAGAGCAGAAGUAAAAAGGAUUAUUUACUCUGGAGUGGCGCUAGGCUUUCUAGUUUACAAUUAUUGAAAUUCUGAAUAAUACCUGUGAAUAAUGCCUAGUGAAUCAGGAAGAAUGGUAAAAAAAUCUUGGAUAUGUUCAUGGCUAGAAACCUAUAAAAGAUUAAAUUUCAAUAAAUAAAACCAUUUUUCUUUUGAUAAUUUCAAGUGCUUUGUUAUGGCUCUAAUAACUUCUUUUUUUUUUCCUGCCUACUGUAAUUAGCUGAUCUUAAAGACGUGCAAACAAGCUGCCACAAGUGUUUGGCUACUUAGUAAUAACUGUGCACCUUCCUACCCAUCAGUAAAUGUAAGAUCAUUUACUUCCAAGAGGGGGAAUUCAGAAGAGGGAUAGGCAACCUCAAAUUACCACACAUUUAUAACCAUGUACAAGACUCCCCACAGGCUGUUACCACAGAUGAGCUAAAUUACUGCAACUUCAGGCUCCAGCUUACAUAAUUUUAACCAUAUUAUGUGCCUAUCUUUACAUUUUAAAAAUAUAAUUUCUACCCAAAAUAUAAUUUCUAUCCAGUUCUUACGUAAUGAUGUUAAACUGGACUUUUUUUUAGACAGCUGGAAACAAAUAAAACAUUAUUUUUUUUGUGAAAGUAAGAAUUUUGUGGAUUCCACUCCUUUUAUUGAGAAACAUUUAACUUCAAUCCCUCUUUAAUAUCCUACCGGCAUUUUUCCCCCAAACCAAUUCUUUAUAAUCUCAAUCUUUUGCCUGUUGAAGUCAAUGGAAGAACACAGUUUGAUUUCAUCAGAAAUUCCUGUCAGUUCCUGAAAAUUUAGAAUAUUUUCUCAUUCUUUUCCCUAUAAAACUCAUUCUACAUUUUAAGGUAUCCAUUUUGUAGUGCUCACCUAGAGACCAAACCUCACAACUCAGGAGUGUGAGUUCAGUUAAGGCUGGACAUUGACAGUUUUGUAAACCAUGUCAUCUACAUCUGAAUUUUUAAAAUUUCUUCCUAGCUAUGUUAAAGCAUUUGGCUGCAAAUCCAUCCCUCAGCUGGAUAAUUCCUGCAGGACACUCUCUGCUGGAAGGAAAUUGCUCUACCAGGACAACUAAGGCAGUUCACACCUUGAACUGUUAGGAAAUGAACCAUGGGUUUUCACAGUCCUUCUCUAAAAAGAGGUUUACACUGCUCACCUGGCAGCAGGUGCCCUCUCAUCCCUGUGCAGAACACUGGGCAGCAAAUGAGCAGGCUCUGCUUGGUUGUUGUUGUUGCCCCCACAUUGGCUUGAUGACAACUAGAUCUGAGCAUCAUUCUUGACCAAGUUACUUCCCCACACACCACAUUGACAGUGAAUUCCUUUUAUCACCUCAAUUAAAGGCACUCUUGAUCAAUAUAUUCAAGAUUCUGAUUUAUCUGGGAAUUCUCCAGUUCUAGUGUCCACAUUCAGUGUUUAUUGCUGGAGUCGUCUCCAAAGUUCCUUUCUACUGCAUUUUUUUCAUUCCCAAGAGAGACAAAGCAUAUUUUUAAAUAGGAGGCACUAUUCCUAGAGUCAUUCAGGCUGGGCAAGGGCUCAAGAGGUCUCUGAUCCCACCACUGCUCAGAGGAGAGUGAGUGCAGCAUUCAGAUCCCCAGGGAUCUGUGUGAAAUCAGGGACUCAGAGUGAAAGUUAUGAAAUUGAGGAAACUUUGGGCAUUUACUAUCAUCUCCAUAUAGUCAUCACUUGGCUAAUGGCAUUUUAAAACAUAUACAGGCUCAUGAGUCAUAGAUAAUGUACCUGUGUACUUGCCCAGCCAGUUGUUACUUUGAUUCACUUUAAUAACCCAUUUUUGCUCCAGUUUUUGUAUUUUACUCUUCACCUGCUGUCUUGCUCGCAUACAUGGAAAGAAAGAAAUGAAUUAAGUAGAAUCAGUCUGUACAAUCACAGCUGAAGCCUCCUGAGCUGGAAAAUUACUCACAUUUAUCUGCUGGCAUCUCUCCUCACAAAUCUUCUGCAGCAACAUCUCUCAAAUUUUCUUCUAAUUGAGCCAUUUUCUGACUUCUAGCAGUGAAUGGGAUGUAGUGAGACAGAGCCCAACUAACAUAUGAAAUUUGUCAUUAGCAGGAAUGGCAGUUUUCCUGGAAAAUUUUUGAUAAAGGUACAUUGAAAGUGCUGUUGGAGAAGUGCAAUUUACUGCAAGCCUGCAUUAAGCACUGACCUUCAUGCUACUCAGUACUAAGCCAAGAAGCAAAGAUGUUAAAAUACAAUGGAGGGCUUAUAUAGAAGUGACUGUAAUUAAAACUAUACCAGAUUUGGGCAACACCUGAGUAAGGUUUUAAUAAAAACAUGACUGUGUUGCUGAUAUUAAGAUUUAAAUCCCUCAGAAAAUCACAGACAUACUCACAGGGUCUAGUUCUCUAGGUAGCUAAAAUCACAUGUCCUUCUUUUCCUGCAUUAUGUUUCCAGCUGCAUUGUGCUUUCCCUUUUGUUUUUGCAAAUAGCUUAAUUCCACAACACCAUUUUUUUAUGGUCCAUUAGCAUGGAACUGCAGGUGCUCAUCAAAAAUUCUCAGUGUCACUAAGAGCACCCAUGACCUACUAAAAACACAUGAAGGAUAAUUUCAGGUAUGGCAAGGCUGUUUUACACUUGUGGGCAGAGAAUCCCUCCCUGACAGCUAAAAGACUCCAGUACUGCCAAAUGACAGCCUGUAUCCUUUCUGCUGGAAGAAAAAUUGCAGAAGUGUGAAAAUCAAAGUGAGCUGAAGAAGAACACAAAAAAUCAUUCUGCUGGGUUAAAGAAAAUGUUUCUUGUGCCCAGCACUGUGCUGGUGUCAUUAGCUGGGUUGUGCCCAGCAGAAAGCAAAUGAGAAGAGCAGUGCCCGCUCCUGAGCUGUGCACUCCAGACUCUGCCAGUCUGCAGGUUAAAGAAUUCCUGGGACAGAGGAUUCAGCUGUUCCUCAGUGUUUGGUGGACUUGGUUCAUGGCCUUUGUUUCAUCAGCUUUGUGCAUUUUGCAUCCAGAAAAUCCCACAGCAGCAAGUUCUACAGUGUAACCUGCUUUAUUCUUGAUGGAGUCUCUGCUCACCUGGGAUAUGUUGCUGGCUGCACUUAUUUGACACAGCCAGCCAUUCACAGACAUCUUUCCUGAAAAACAUCAGAAACAGCAGAAGCACUGGGACCCUGCAGUGCUGCACUGUGUGACCUUUCAGAAGUGGCAAUAACACAUUCAGAGAGCAGGCUGCACCGAUGGAACCCCAAAGCACUUUACAAAUUACAGAGAGAAGAAUCCUGUUAACUCCCUCCUGGAAAGCUGCCAUUCCUGCUCUGCUAGACAGCAGCUGCUUCACAGCCCACAGCAGCAUCCCCAGCAGUUCUGGAUGGACAGCAGGACGCAGGACAACACCCACGGAAUGGCAGGAGAAAAUAAACCAGGCAUGGUGUGGCUCCUUGGAUGGGGAAAUAAACCAUGGUGGGGCUCCUUGGGUUGGAUAAUGAACCAUGGUGUGGCUACUUGGAUUGGAAAAUGAACCAUGAUGGGACUCCUUGGGUUGGACAAUAAACCAUGGUGGGACUCCUUGGGUUGGAUAAUAAACCAUGGUGAGACUCCUUGGGUUGGACAGUGGUUCUGAUGGGUGCUUUUGGGGAAGGUUUCAAAGGAGGAUGGGUGAGAUUGUGUGGUGACUUCCCUGGGAUUUUUGAGUUAAUGGAAUAAAGGAGAGGAAUUAAUAAAGAUGAUUUUUCUAACAACACUUCUACAUCAGUAUGUCCAUCCCGCAGUUCUGGAUGGACAGCAGGACUCAGGACAACACCCACAGAAUAGCAGGAGAAAUGGCAGGCAUGGUGUGGCCCCUUGGAUUGGAAAAUAAACCAUGGUGGGACUCCUUGGGUUGGAUAAUAAACCAUGGUGGGACUCCUUGGGUUGGACAGUGAUUCUGAUGGGUGCUUUUGGGGAAGGUUUCAAAGGAGGAUGGGUGAGAUUGGGUGGUGACUUCCCUGUGGUUUUUGAGUUAAUGGAAUA